UAAUAUGGCAAUUAAAACAAUAAACAAAUCACAAUAAUAAAUCACUAAUUGGUAUUGGUUAAAGGCACACUAUAGACACCAAAACAACUUUAGUUUAAUGAAGCAGCUUUAGUGUAUAUAUCAUUCACUGCUAGUAUAGAUCAUUCACUGCUCAAUUUUCUGUCCGGUUAAAUCAGUUGUCACUUUUGUUUCUGUUUAUGCAGCCCAAGUAAAUGACAGUCUGCAUAAAAAAAAAAAAAAAAAAAUGGUUUCACUUUCAAUAAUGUUAACUUACUUUAAAAGUUGUUAGCUCCUGACCUGUAAAUUGAACUUUACUUGCAUACAGGAGGCUACUGCAG